rnacentral:rRNA from 1 species
CCUACGGGAGGCAGCAGUGGGGAAUAUUGGACAAUGGGCGAAAGCCUGAUCCAGCCAUGCCGCGUGUGUGAAGAAGGCCUUCGGGUUGUAAAGCACUUUCAGUGGGGAAGAAAGCCUUGGGGCCAAUACCCUCGAGGAAGGACAUCACCCACAGAAGAAGCACCGGCUAACUCCGUGCCAGCAGCCGCGGUAAUACGGAGGGUGCGAGCGUUAAUCGGAAUUACUGGGCGUAAAGCGCGCGUAGGCGGUCUGAUAAGCCGGUUGUGAAAGCCCCGGGCUCAACCUGGGAACGGCAUCCGGAACUGUCAGGCUAGAGUGCAGGAGAGGAAGGUAGAAUUCCCGGUGUAGCGGUGAAAUGCGUAGAGAUCGGGAGGAAUACCAGUGGCGAAGGCGGCCUUCUGGACUGACACUGACGCUGAGGUGCGAAAGCGUGGGUAGCAAACAGGAUUAGAUACCGUGUAGUC